GAUGAACGCUGGCGGCGUGCCUAAUACAUGCAAGUCGAGCGAACGGACGAGAAGCUUGUUUCUCUGAUGUUAGCGGCGGACGGGUGAGUAACACGUGGAUAACCUACCUAUAAGACUGGGAUAACUUCGGGAAACCGGAGCUAAUACCGGAUAAUAUUUUGAACCGCAUGGUUCAAAAGUGAAAGACGGUCUUGCUGUCACUUAUAGAUGGAUCCGCGCUGCAUUAGAUAGUUGGUAAGGUAACGGCUUACCAAGGCAACGAUGCAUAGCCGACCUGAGAGGGUGAUGGGCCACACUGGAACUGAGACACGGUCAAGACUCCUACGGGAGGCAGCAGAAGGGAAUCUUCCGCAAGGGGCGAAAGCCUGACGGAGAAACGCCGCGUGAGUGAGGAAGGUCUUCGGAUCGUAAAACUCUGUUAUUAGGGAAGAACAUAUGUGGAAGUAACUGUGCACAUCUUGACGGUACCUAAUCAGAAAGCCACGGCUAACUACGUG
rnacentral:rRNA from 1 species